GCGUCCUUGGUGUAGCGGUAACACACAAUCUUCUUCUACUUGAUCCGACGCCUGGAUGAGAUUGGGUACGGGGUUCAAACCCCGAGGACGCA